rnacentral:rRNA from 1 species
CCUAACCCGACCAAGGAAGGGCGAGCCUCGAACCGACGGUGGGAUCAGCGACUGGGGUG